rnacentral:rRNA from 1 species
GACGAACGCUGGCGGCGUGCUUAACACAUGCAAGUCGAACGGAAAGGCCCUGCUUUUGUGGGGUGCUCGAGUGGCGAACGGGUGAGUAACACGUGAGUAACCUGCCCUUGACUUUGGGAUAACUUCAGGAAACUGGGGCUAAUACCGGAUAGGAGCUCCUGCUGCAUGGUGGGGGUUGGAAAGUUUCGGCGGUUGGGGAUGGACUCGCGGCUUAUCAGCUUGUUGGUGGGGUAGUGGCUUACCAAGGCUUUGACGGGUAGCCGGCCUGAGAGGGUGACCGGCCACAUUGGGACUGAGAUACGACCCAGACUCCUACGGGAGGCAGCAGUGGGGUAUAUUGCACAAUGGGCGGAAGCCUGAUGCAGCAACGCCGCGUGCGGGAUGACGGCCUUCGGGUUGUAAACCGCUUUCGCCUGUGACGAAGCGUGAGUGACGGUAAUGGGUAAAGAAGCACCGGCUAACUACGUG